GCUUGGGUAGCUCAGUGGUAGAGCUCCUGACUAGAGUUGCAGGGAUCCUGAGUUCAAUUCCCGGUCCAGCA
rnacentral:tRNA from 1 species